UGGGUUGUCGUCUAAAAGGUAAGACCUCCGAGUUUGAUUCGGAAAAAGAAGUUCAAAUCUUCUCAGCCCAG
rnacentral:tRNA from 1 species